rnacentral:tRNA from 1 species
GGGCGUUUAGCUCAGCUGGCUAGAGCGCAUCGUUCACAUCGAUGAGGUCACUGGUUCGAGUCCAGUACCGCCCA